rnacentral:rRNA from 1 species
AGAGUUUGAUUCUGCUCAGGAUGAACGCUGGCGCGUGCUUAACACAUGCAAGUCGAACGAGGUCCAACCUUCGGUGAAGACCAAGUGGCGAACGGGUGAGUACACGUGGGAACUGCCCUUCUCUCUGGGAUAACCUCGGGAAACCGAAGCUAAUACCGGAUACUCCUUGCGGACCGCAUGGUCUGCUCGGGAAAGCUCCGGCGGAGAAGGAUGGCCCCGCGGCCCAUUAGCUUGUUGGUGGGGUAACGGCCCACCAAGGCGACGAUGGGUAGCCGAGCUGAGAGGCUGAUCGGCCACACUGGGACUGAGACACGGCCCAGACUCCUACGGGAGGCAGCAGUGGGGAAUCUUGCGCAAUGGGCGAAAGCCUGACGCAGCAACGCCGCGUGCGGGAUGAAGGCUCUCGGGUCGUAAACCGCUUUCAGCAGGGAUGAAAAUGACAGUACCUGCAGAAGGAGCCCCGGCUAAAUACGUGCCAGCGGCCGCGGUAAUACGUAUGGGGCAAGCGUUAUCCGGAUUCAUUGGGCGUAAAGCGCGCGUAGGCGGCUUGUUAAGUCAGGCGUGAAAUCCGGGGGCUCAACCCGCGGCUUGCGUCUGAAACUGGCAGGCUUGAGUCUGGUAGAGGAAAGUGGAAUUCCUGGUGUAGCGGUGAAUGCGCAGAUAUCAGGAGGAACACCAGUGGCGAAGGCGGCUUUCUGGGCCACGACUGACGCUGAGGCGCGAAAGCUAGGGGAGCGAACAGGAUUAGAUACCCUGGUAGUC